GACGAACGCUGGCGGCGUGCUUAACACAUGCAAGUCGAACGGAAAGGCCCUGCUUGCAGGGUACUCGAGUGGCGAACGGGUGAGUAACACGUGGGUGAUCUGCCCUGCACUUCGGGAUAAGCCUGGGAAACUGGGUCUAAUACCGGAUAGGAGCCAUUUUUAGUGUGAUGGUUGGAAAGUUUUUUCGGUGUAGGAUGAGCUCGCGGCCUAUCAGCUUGUUGGUGGGGUAAUGGCCUACCAAGGCGGCGACGGGUAGCCGGCCUGAGAGGGUGGACGGCCACAUUGGGACUUAGGUACGGCCCAGACUCCUACGGGAGGCAGCUGUGGGGAAUAUUGCACAAUGGGCGCAAGCCUGAUGCAGCGACGCCGCGUGUGGGAUGACGGCCUUCGGGUUGUAAACUCCUUUCGCUAGGGACGAAGCUUUUUGUGACGGUACCUAGAUAAGAAGCACCGGCUAACUACGUG
rnacentral:rRNA from 1 species